UCCAAACGAAGGAUCAGGGCUAUCGACA
rnacentral:sRNA from 1 species